rnacentral:lncRNA from 1 species
GCGAGGUCACCAGGCAACGGCACCGCGGGGGAGGAGCAGCGGGAGCGCGGAAUGCACCGAUCUGAUGCACCGACCUGCACCAGGGAGCGGGGCACGGCGGUGGGGUGGUCACGAGGAUGGGGUGGGCACGAGGAGGUGGUGCGGGGCACGAGGAGGUGGUGGGCACGAGGAUGGGGUGGGCACGAGGAAAUGGCACAGGGCACGAGGAGGUGGCAGGCAGGAGAGCAUGCCACGAGGCACAAGGAGGUGGUGGGCACGAGGAUGGGGUGGGCACAAGGAUGGGGCGGGCACAACGAAAUGGUGCAGGGCACGAGGAGGUGGCGGGCACCGUGGGGCACCAGAAGGGAAUGCUGUGGGGCACGAGGAUGAGUGUGCACUAGGAAAUGCCACAGUCAUGAGGAUGUGGUGCAUACAAGGAGCUGCCACGGGGCACAAGGAGGUGCAGGGCACGAGGAUGCACCACGGGGCACAAACACGUGCCAUGGAGCACAGGGAUGUGGCAAUCACAUGGAAUUGCUGUGGGGCACGAGGAUGAGCGUGCACGAGGAAAUGCCACGGGCAUGAAGACGCGGUGGAUACAAGGAGCUGGCACGAGGAAAUGGCGCAGGGCACGAGGAGGUGGCGGGCACCAUGGGGCACGAGAGCAUGCCGUGAGGCACGAGGAGGUGGUGGGCACAAGGGUGGGCUGGGCACGAGGAAAUGGCGCAGGGCACGAGGAAAAGGCACAGGGCACGAGGAGGUGGUGGGCACGAGGAAAUGGUGCAGGGCACGAGGAAAAGGCGCAGGGCACGAGGAGCAGGCGGGCACCAUGGGGCACGAGAGCAUGCUGUGGGGCACGAGGAGGUGGCAACCAGAAGGGAAUGCUGUGGGGCACGAGGAUGAGCGUGCACGAGGACAUGCAUGCCAUGGGGCACGAAGAUGCGGUGGAUACAAGGAGCUGCCGCGGGGCACCACGACGCUGCGGGGCACGAGGAGCUGGCGGGCACAAGGAAAUGCACGGGGCACGAGGAGGUGGAGGGCACAAGGAAAUGCACAGGGCACAAGGAGCUGGUGGGCACAAGGAAAUGCACGGGGCACGAGGAUGCACUGCGGGCACGAGGAUAUGCCACGAUGCCACGGAGCGCAGGGAUGUGUCAACCACAAGGAAUGCUGCAGGGCACGAGGACGCACCACGGGGCACGAGGACAGCGGCUCGGCAAGGGGACGUGGCACAGCGCGGGGACGGCGUGGGCGGGGGGGCACGAGGACACGGUGAGCACGAGGACGUGGCACGGGGACAAACCGCGGGCACGGGAACACAGCGUGGCACACGGCCACGGCGCGGCACGAGGAGAUGGGGAUGCGGCGCGGCACGACGGCACGGCGCGGCACGGAGCGGGGCCUGGGGUGGCACGGGGACGGGGCAGCACAGCCACAUGGAGGGGGCGCAGCCGUGGGGCACGGGGACACGGCGUGGCACGAGGACAUGGUGAGGCACGAGGACAUGGUGUGGCACGAGGACAUGGUGAGGCAUGGGGACAGGAUGUGGCACGAGGACAUGGCAUGGCACAAGCACAUGGUGUGGCAUGAGGAGAUGGUGAGGCACGAGGACACGGCGAGGCACAAGGAAAUGGUAAAACACGAGGACACGGCACGACAUGAGGACAUGGCACGACAUGAGGACAUGGCGUGACAUGAGGACAUGGCGUGACAUGAGGACACGGCACGACAUGAGGACAUGGCACGACAUGAGGACACGGCGCGACAUGAGGACACGACACGACAUGAGGACACGGCACGACACGAGGACAUGGCACGACAUGAGGACAUGGCACGACACGAGGACAUGGCACGACAUGAGGACAUGGCACGACACGAGGACAUGGCACGACAUGAGGACAUGGCACGACACGAGGACAUGGCACGACAUGAGGACAUGGCACGACACGAGGACAUGGCACGACACGAGGACACGGCACGACAUGAGGACAUGGCACAACAUGAGGACACGGCACAACAUGAGGACGCUGCCUGUUCUCCACGCACCGCACUCCACACCUCAGGGAAGCUGAGGCAGGAAUGGCUCACAUCGUAUUGCGUCGUAUCGUGUCGUGCUGUGACAUACCAUGUCACGACAGUUGUGUCAUAUCACGUCAUAUCACGCCAUAUCGUGUCAUAUCGUGUCGUGUUGCGCAAACCAUGUCAUAUUGUGUCGUAUCGUGACAUAUCGUGCCAUAUCAUGUCAUACCAUAUUGUAUCACGUCAUACUGUGUCAUAUCGCGUCACAUUAUCUUACAUCGCGUCAUAUCAGUUCACACCAUGCCGUGUUGUGACAUACCAUGUCACGACACAUUGUGUCACAUCACGUCAUAUCACACCAUAUCAGUCAUAUCGUGUCACAUCUUGUCAUAUCACGUCAUUCUACGUCAUACCGUGACAUAUCGUGUCGUAUUGUGCUCUAUCAUGUCAUGUUCUGUUGUGACAUACCAUGUC